GGUAUUGCUAGGAAGCGUGUAUUAUCCCUACCUCUCAGAGGUGGGAACAGAUUCAGAGAGGCUGGAUGACUCCCCUAAGGCCACACAGCUUGUCAGUAGGAGCUCCAGAAUUAAGAGCCUGGCCCUGCUGACUCAGAGUCCAAGACCGCCUCCUCCGCGCGCCGGUGCCGCUUACCUGCCGGGUACCGCUCGUUGACGGGCCAGCUGUCCACCUGCAGGGUGGCGUUGCCACCACUUCGAGUGAAGCGCACCACGUGGUAUUUGCCGUCGCUCACAAUGGCGUUGGGCUCGUCAAUGGUAAUGUCGUCCGUGCCCACGUUAAAGAUCACCCCCACGGUGCCCUGGUCCUGGGGACAAGGAGGUAGAGGUGAGGAAACUGAGACUGGAAGCCAUGGGCUGACCGCACGAGGACAGAGCAAGGAAGUGGCAAAGCUGAGAUUCCGAUCCGGGCCCUCGGCUCCGAAGGCACACACAGCCUCUCGGGAGCGUGCGGGGAGAGCAGCAGCCCUGCCCACAGAGAGAAGGACACGGAGACACAGCCACACCUGCCUCGGGGUCAGGAGACUCGAGUAACAGCAAAUGCCAGUCCUCUGGGACAUGCAAGCCGUCCAGAGGCCACCAGCCUGUGGCCUCCCAGCCCCCCAAGGUCCCACUGUCAUUGCUGACCCCAUCAGUGCGCACAAUGUGCUGUCCACAGU